rnacentral:lncRNA from 1 species
AAACGAAGCUUUUAAUUGCACUAAUGGAGAUGUUUUGAAGUGGAAGCAUUUAUGGAAAGUGUUGGCUGAGCAGUUUGAGAUUGAGAAUUAUGGGCUUGAAGAUGGAAAGUGUAGUGAGAGAGUGAGAUUGGAGGAAAUUAUGAAAGGCAAAGAAAGUGUGUGGGAGGAGAUUGUGAGAGAGAAUCAGCUUCAGCCAACGAAACUGAAUGAGGUUGCUGUUUGGUCAUAUGCAGAUACGGUGAUGAAUGUUGGUGCGGGUUAUUUAGUUAGCAUGAACAAGAGUAAGGAGCACGGGUUCUUGGGUUUCAGAAAUUCUAUUAGUUCCUUCGUUACUUGGAUUGGCAGGCUUGGAAAGUGUUGGCUGAGCAGUUUGAGAUUGAGAAUUAUGGGCUUGAAGAUGGAAAGUGUAGUGAGAGAGUGAGAUUGGAGGAAAUUAUGAAAGGCAAAGAAAGUGUGUGGGAGGAGAUUGUGAGAGAGAAUCAGCUUCAGCCAACGAAACUGAAUGAGGUUGCUGUUUGGUCAUAUGCAGAUACGGUGAUGAAUGUUGGUGCGGGUUAUUUAGUUAGCAUGAACAAGAGUAAGGAGCACGGGUUCUUGGGUUUCAGAAAUUCUAUUAGUUCCUUCGUUACUUGGAUUGGCAGGCUAAAAAGUCACAAGAUUGUGCCUUAAGUAUUUUUUUUUUUUUUCAAUUUGGUGCGUUAGUUAAAACUUUCAAUUAAUAGUUCAAAUUGUGUUUGUUUGGCUGGAAAUGCAGCUUUUGUUUGUUCUUUGCUUUCCAAUAAAUGAAAAGCUUGGGAGGAGAUUGUGAGAGAGAAUCAGCUUCAGCCAACGAAACUGAAUGAGGUUGCUGUUUGGUCAUAUGCAGAUACGGUGAUGAAUGUUGGUGCGGGUUAUUUAGUUAGCAUGAACAAGAGUAAGGAGCACGGGUUCUUGGGUUUCAGAAAUUCUAUUAGUUCCUUCGUUACUUGGAUUGGCAGGCUAAAAAGUCACAAGAUUGUGCCUUAAGUAUUUUUUUUUUUUUUCAAUUUGGUGCGUUAGUUAAAACUUUCAAUUAAUAGUUCAAAUUGUGUUUGUUUGGCUGGAAAUGCAGCUUUUGUUUGUUCUUUGCUUUCCAAUAAAUGAAAAGCUUCGUUUCAGGCAGAAAAAUGAUAUUAAAAAAAAAAAAAAAAAGGCACUGUACUCAAUUUCGUGCUGAGAAAACAUUCAUUUUACAUUUCUGAAUUAUAUGCCUUCAAGUUAUGAUGACUCGACGUUCAAAGCCUAAUCCUAGUCGAAUGCUCCUUUAAUUUGUUCGUCCAGUUGGAACCAACUGAUUCAAAGGACAAGAAAAGGGAAAAUGGAAAGAAAAGUUGAUGGUGAACAUAUAACUGAUCAAAAUGAAAUCAUCCAAAAAUUUUUAAUUGGAGAGCUUUAUUUAGAGAGAGCAGAUGGAAAGAAAAUGAAAUUAAAAUAAAGUUUAUGGACAUUUAAGUCAUCUUAAUGGUUGGGGGUAUAUCUGUAAUUUUAUUGGGUCAAAGCGAUCAAUACUUACAUUUAGUAGAAAAUCUAAAAGAUUCUUCAUAGUCUAUUAUCAUAAUUCUUAGGGAAGAGUAGUAAGUUGUUUAUGUCGAUUUUAAUGCGUGUGCAUAAAAAUUUACCUUUAUAUUUAAUCCGAUCGAAACUUUACCAGUAGAUAUAAGGUAAACAAAAAUAGUGUUGUGGUUGAUUCUUUACCACUGCAUUAGGCGUUAAGAAAUAUCUCCUUUUUUCAUUAAGAAUUUCUUAGUUAUGUUAUUUUCUUAUUUAGGAGAACUACUAAUUAAGGGAUAAGUAAUUUUUUCCUUUGAGAUUUACUUAUUUGAAGAGGAAUACAACUUGUAUAAGGAAAAUGAAUAAUUCUCUUACAAGAAAUAAUCAAUUAAUAUAAGGAAGUUGGGUUCACUUAUUCAUAUAAAAAUCGGCAAGUGGACAAUUUCUAAUGUGAGAGAAACGAUAGGUCUAUUGAAAGCUUUAGUGUUAUUAGAGUUUUGAGUGUGAGGAAAAUGCUAGUGUAGUUAUAAUAAUUUUUAACAUAAUGAAAUUUCUCUCAUUUUUCUUGGUAGCAUGGUUUUUCUCCAGUAUUAAAGUUUUUCAUGAAAGUUUUUGUAUUGUGUGAUUAGUUUUAUUCUUCAUCCAUAUUUUCUAUGUGCUAUUUUUUUGAUAUUUUGGCUUGCAAGAUCUUGAGUGGAAUUGAAAUUUUGUAACAAAUGGUAUCAGAGCUAAGGUUGCAAUACAGAGCAAAUAUAUCAGCAAUGAGGAUUUGAAAACUUGUAAAGGCAAAAUAGAAAAGUUUGAUGGGAGAAUAAAUUUUGGCUUGUGGCAUAUUGAAGUCAAAGUUGUAUGUUCAUCCAAUCUAUGUUACACAAUGAAAGAAAAGACGCUGUAAACCAUGUUCCCAAUAGUGAGAACUCCAAGAGAUGUGUAGGCAAUCAAGGCACCUAAUAAAGAUUGUUGAAAUGAAGCAACUUCGGCAAGUAGCUUUAAAUUAAUAGAUGAAAAUACUAAUAAUCUCAACUACUGGUGUGUCUCUCUUCUCUACGAGGGACUGGUUUAUCCUUUUUGGCGUGUCAUGGAAGAGGAUGUGUUACUGCUAGCAGGUCCAUAAUAUUUGCAUGCGAGGUAUAGUUUGACAUUUAUGCGAGGUGUGUGGCAGAAUUUUGCUGUUACUGGUUGAUGACACUAAAAGAAGUCAAACAUGAGAGUGGGAUUUUUAGCAAGGUGAUCGGGAUGUCUUGAAUAUGCGUACCCUAGAUAAAGUGGAAUAUGAUGAUUCUCAGUGUUGAGAAUUAUAGCUGCUGAAUAGGGGACAAGGUUUUACCCAUGAUAGAGUGAUUCUCGUAAGCCCUAUGUGAAUGUGAUUUUGGUGGAGUAAAAUAGAUGGAGACAACAUGCUUGUGUGGAUACACGGUUGAUUAUGUUUUAUCGCUUAAUUUAAAAACUUGCCAAGGUGGAGAUUGUUAGAAAAUAUGUCUUUUUUUCCAAUAUAAGCAUUUUCUAGGUUAUUUUCUUAUUUUAGAGGAUUCAUAUUUAAGAAAUAAGUAAUUUCUCUUCCGAGACUUAACUUAUUUAAGGAGAAAUACAAUUUGUAUAAUGUAAUGAAUACUUCUCCUAUAAGAAACAAUCACUAUAUAAGGAUGUUCAGUUUACUUGUUCAUAUAAAAAUAAGCAAGUAGACAAUUUUUAACGUGAGAGAAACAAUAAGACUAUUGAGAAAAUGAGUGUUAUUGGGAUUGUGGGUUUGAGGAAAAUACUAAAGUAAAUGUAAUAAUUUUGAACGUAGUUAAUUUUUCUCUCAUCGUCCUUAGCUGCAUAAUUUUCUCAAGUAUAGGAGUUUUCACAUAAAUUUUUAUGUUAUAUGAUUGGUUCUUAUUGUUCAUCUAUAUGUUCUAUUAAUUAGUUGUUUGAUAUUUUUCCUUUCAAAAUCUUCGGUGGAAUUAAAAUCCCCCAACAUUAGGUUUAGAUAUAAUCUAGGUCAUUCGGAGUUAUUUGUAAGCCCAAACAUGAGUGUGCCCUUUGCAUCGAUUAUGCAAUAUAGUCCCACCCUAAUGUGGAAAGUCAAAUAUCAAUUUGAAUUUGGAUCACUCACUUGUAAUACAACAUGCUCAAGGAGCUUAACGCCCAAAAUUAUAAGGGUAUUAAUAUUUGCACUCUAAAAACUAAGGAUAAGGCUAUAUGAAAUCACCAAUUUCCUCUCUAAAUCCUCAUUUUAAUUAAGAACUUUAUAAACUAAAUAAUUUUAAAAAAAUUGGUUUAAUUAUUCCACUUUUCUCUUUCUCUUUUCAAUUUUAUAAAUUCUCAUCAAUCCUUUCAAAUUUAUUCUUUUACACGUAGAUAAUUAGUAUCACUAACUAGGAGGAACAAAACCCAUCAUUUAAAAAAGAAUACCAACAACAUUUUAUUAUCCGUGAAAAUUAAUGAAUAUUAAGAAAUUAAUUUUUACUAAACAUAAAAGCUAAUGUAUAUUAAGAAAUAAAAAAAUGUCCUAUAUAUAUACAAAGCAUGAAAUAUAGAUCAUAAUGUACUCAGAAAGGUAAAAAUAAAUAAAAUAAAAAUUCAAAAGAUAUUGAAAUUGAGUGUUUAGUUUAGAGAGUAAAGGGAGAGUAUUCAAUUGUAAAGUGAGAAAACAAGUGAUUAAUGAGGGAUAAUUUGAAAUUUUAAAAUUUUAAAACUUUAAUGAUAAAUAUAUUUUUUAAAAAUGGGUGUACAAAAGAAGUUGAUGGGUUUCAAUAGCCGCAAUCAUAAACUAAUCCCAAUGACUAAUUUUUUUACUAACAAUAUGUAUUCUUAAAUUGCCCAUAAUUGAAGUCAACCUUAUAAAAUUAAACGAAAAUGUUAAUAUUAAUUCAACAUACCCAUUUAUCACAUCCUUACCAUGAACCUUAAUUUCACUUCUCUCAAUUCCAUCGUUUUAUUAUUAUUUUCUCAAUUGAUUUCCUAACAUUUUAUGAAAGGUAAAGAAAGUGUAUGGGGAGGGGAUUGUGAGAGAGAAUCAGCUUCAGCCAACGAAAUUGAAUGAGGUUGCUGUUUGGUCAUGUGCAGAUAUGG